AUAGAAACCCUAAUGCCUAAACCAGCAGCCACCGCCCACCAGUCCUCCUCGUCGUCGACUUCCACCAGCCACCGGUCUCCCUCUUGCCGUCUCGUCUCUCCUUUUCGCGGCUUCUUAUCUUCUUAUCUAAGUACUCUUACUUAUGAUUCCCAUCAAAAUUAACUGAUGACAUACUUACUCUAGUAGUAGAGGUACCACAAUAUUUUUCUUGGAGAAAAACCAAACUGGAUUUAAGAGAUAAGCGUGCCUUGUGAAGGGAUUUAAAAAAUGGGUCAGAGAUUAAGCUUCUCCAUUGUUUGCAAAUGCACCUUAACCUACACAAUGUCUUUGCGCAUAGCCUUGACAAGAUGUCCAUCAUCACAUCCUUGGACAACAUUAUCAUCUCUGCUCUAUGGCUAGCAAACUUUUCCCUCAAUUAUCAGAAGUUUGCUAGUCAUUUUUUUUUUCAAUUUACAAUUUUUUCUCACUAUUUGUUGUUGAAUUUGCCGAUUUUGUUAAACGGAUAUGUUUACAGUAGGAAUAAAAUAGUAGUAAAUUGUGACAUUUUCCAAGUUUCAAUUUUCUGCUUCUGAAAUGAAUUCACAGGAGCAGCUUCUUUGGUUUUUAGAACAAUUUGUAGUAAGAAAAUUUAUCUAGUGGUUUAGUAGGGGUUGACGAGAUUCAGCUAGAUUAUCAUAAAAAAUGUCAUUUUCUAACAUCAUGAAUAUGUUUUUUGGUUUUUGUUGGGACUUUACAAAGGAGUAUUUCUCACAAAUUUCAACUACACCUUGUUAGAGAUUCUUAUGCUAGUAUAGGAGAUAUCGAGAAGUAGUAUUUUUCAUUUUUAUUUUUAUUUUAUAAAAUGUUUGCUUGAUAUAGUUUUGAAUGGGGAACAUGGUUAGUUAUGAUUUAUAUAGCUACCCUAGCUUGUUUGGGAUGGAGACAUAGUUGUUAUAUUAUGAGUACUUUUUGGCUAUUUUUAGGGCAUAUGAUUGGGAUCCCAAUUUUUGUCACUUUCUUAAAUUUGCAGCUGUUUAGGAGGUGAUUGCCAAGAUCCAAUACUUUGUGUUAUUUAUCAAUCAAACAUGACAGUAGAGGUGCAAUCUGAGGCAACUUAAGUAGUUUAAGAAGUUGUUGUUGAUUUUGAUAAUUUUAGGGUUUUCUUCUUCGUCUUCAUUUCUCUGUUCUUAUGUUUUGUACUGUGCCCUUUCUGUCUCAAUUUCAAUUCAAGAAACUCAGAGCUAGUGAGUUACAAACGAAGCGCUAGUAUUGUUUAGCCCAUGGAUAUGGCACGAUGAUCUCUGCUUAUUUCUAUCCCUUCUCAGAAGCCAGUGACACUUAAAUUAAUUAAUCAAGACUAAAUGUUGAUCCUUAAUAACUGUGUUUUCAUCGUUUAGUUCAUUGCUAGAACAAGCUCUAGUUUUGUUUAAUGCAAGCUCAAAAAUAGUCUAUUACAACUUGAUGUCUUUAUUCUCAUUCCUUUUAUUUUUUUGUUACAGUGACUCAUACAUGGAUGAAAAUAUACAAAGUGAUAAGUUGAUGAUGGGUGAAAGUGGGGCUUCUAAUUCAAAUGCAAUAAGUCAAGCUCAAACAAUGAAGUCAAAUAUAACCAACAAAAGGAGAAAAAGGUCUGUUGUGUGGGAUCAUUUUACAGAAACUAUUACUUCUGAAGGGAGUACAAAAGCAAAAUGUGACUAUUGCUUUAUUGAGUAUGUAUUUAAGACCAAAGAUGGUACGUCGACACUUCUUUCUCUUAUGCUUAUGUGUCCUAAACGCCCUGCUAUUGUUGAUAAAAAAAACAAUCAAAUUUAGACUUUCAAUCUGCUCCAGGGGUAGUCAAGGUGACGUAGCUGUUGUUACUUGGAAAUUUGAUCAAGAAGAAUGUAGGAAGGCAUUAUGUCGUAUGGUAAUAGUUAAUGAGCUUCCUUUUAGCUUUGUUGAGAAAGAAGGUUUUAUAGACUUUAUGAAAGUGGCGCAACCUUAAUUUUGGAUCCCUUCCUGUAGUAUUGUAACUAGGAAUUGUUUUGAUAUUUUUUAAUGAAGAAAAGCAAAAAUUGAAGAGGUUUUUUUCUAGAAACAAAACAAAGAGUAUGUAUUACCACUGAUACCUGGACUUCUAUACAAAGAAUCAAUUACAUGUGUAUCACUACCUAUUGGAUUGAUAGUUAAUGGAAUAUGCAUAAGAGAAUAAUUAAUUUUUGUCCUAUUGUUACUCAUAAAUGCGAAGAUAUGACAAAUGGUAUUGGUAGGUGCUUACGUGACUGGGGGAUAAAUAAGAUCUUCACUGUCACAGUUAAUAAUGCAAGCUCAAAUGAUGUGACAGUAAAAGAAUUAUGUAAGUAAUUAACAAAAAUGGGUACUAAUUUGAUGAAUGGUACUCACCUUCACGUGAGAUAUAUGUCUCACAUCAUGAAUCUUGUGGUCCAGGAUGGUUUAAAAGAAUCUUUAGUGUAUAUUGAACGUGUUAGGCAUGCAGUGAGAUAUGUUAGGCAGUCUCCUGCGAGGUUGAAGAGGUUUCAAGAAUGUUUUGAUGCUGAAAACUCAAUUCUAAAAAAACUUUAUGCUUAGAUGUUCCAACUAGAUGGAAUUCCACCUACUUGAUGUUGCGCAGGGCUGUUGAAUUUGAAAGUGCAUUCUCACAUUAUGCUUCUAGUGAAAUUGGCUUGAGACAUUAUCUUGAGCAUUCUUAUAUUGAUGUUGGAAUUCCUACAUGUGAACUUUUGAGUAGUGUUUGGGAGAAUGUAAAAAGAAUUACAAAGUUUCUUGAAAUCUUCUAUCUUCUUACUUUGAAGAUAUCUGGAUCAUGUUAUGUUACAUAGAAUAUUCAUUUUCUUAAAAUUUGUGUUGUUUCUAUUUAUUUGAAGCAAUUGAUAGCAAAUAAAGAUACAGUUUUAAGUGAAAUGGCAAAGAAUAUGAAAGAAAAGUUUGAUAAGUAUUGGGGCGAUCCAGGGAAAAUGAACAAGAUAAUUUUUAUCUCAUGUAUUUUGUAUCCACGUUACAAGAUCGAAUCGGUUGGCUAUGCACUUGUAAAGAUGUUUGGUGUAAAUCAGGGGGCAACUAUACAAGCAGAAGUGACGAAGUACAUGACUUCAUUAUUUAGUGAGUAUGUAAAGUCCAGCUCAAAAGGUGUUGUACUUGCUUCAUCUUUAGAUUGUUCUUCAUUGGACACUUCGACUUCCGGGCUUUCUGCCAGUCAAGCAAACACCCAAAAUAUAGGACUUUUAGAAUCACUCAUGCAAGAUAUAAAAAAUAUAAAAGUGGGAGUGGAGGUAUUGAUACUAGAACAGAGUUAGAUAAAUAUUUAGGUGAAGAAACUGAGGAUGACACUAAAGAAUUUAAUGUUCUUCUUUGGUGGAAACUGAACUCAACUAGAUUUUCUAUUCUUGCGGAGAUGGCUCGUGAUGUAUUAGUUGUUCCGGUUUCAAGUGUGGCAUCCAUAUGUGCGUUUAGUACAUGAGGACGUCUUCUUGAUUCAUUUAGGAGUUCAUUAACUCCUAAAUUGGUGCAAGCUCUAGUAUGUCUUCAAGAUUGGCUUCGAAAUAAAAAAUUAAAACAACCUAUUAGUGUUGAGGAAGAUCUUGAUAAAAUCGAGUAGCUUGAACAAGGUUAUAAUAUUGUUACUAUAUUUGUUGUAUAUAAGUGUUGUUGAUAUGCUUAUAUUUAUCGCACGACUCAUUAUUUUAAUUUUUUUCUUCAGAUUUAGCCAGCAAUGGAAAAGACCCUUUCGUAAUUGACGUGUAGUGUUAAUAUAUCUGGGUCUGAAACUCAUAUAGUUAAGUGUUGUCAUCAACUUCUGAUAUUUUGAAGGAUUAAGAUUACUUCUGGUGAGACCGUGACUUUAAUUGCUGAGACUGUGAAGUGAGACUAUGAUAUUGAUUGCUGCAGUACAUAUGAGUACAGAAGCAUGGUGAUAAGAAGAAAGUGGAAUUGAUUCAAUGUGUUCUUUUUCCUUUUAUUGUACUUUUUUGUUUUUGAUCUAGUUGCUUACACUAUGUUGUUUCAUCCUUUUUUGAAGAAUUCAGAAAGCAAGGUCACAUGAUUGCGAACUUCCUUGCUGAUUACUAUCAAAACAUUGAAAAACAUCCAGUUUGUAGCCAAGUCAAUCCAGGCUAUCUCAAAGUAUUGUUGACAAAACCAACAUAUUAAUACAUGCCCUUUUGUUGCUUGUUUUUUA